UCCAUUCAGUUGCUUGUCUCAUCGUGAAAUAUGGUGGAAGUGAUUCGUAUUGUAUGUUUCACGUGAGAGAAUGAUUGAUCUUAUUUUACAACGUGAAUUGUUGAAUCACAUUUUGCAUAAUUAUAAUUUUUAAAAUACUUCGAUCUUUUCUUUGCAUCCGUCAUAAUAGGUCAUGAAGCAUACAUGAUUCAAUACUUCACA
rnacentral:lncRNA from 1 species